GAAUGGCAUAACGAGGGUUUAACUGUCUCCCUCCCCUAGUCAAUGAAAUUGAUCUGCCCGUGCAGAAGCGGGCAUAAAUACAUAAGACGAGAAGACCCUAUGGAGCUUUAGACGAAAGAUCAAACAUGUAAAGAAACCAAACUAACCAAAAGGAACACAAAGGCCACUAAACCCAACGUAAAAUGAUCCAAAUGUCUUCGGUUGGGGCGACCAUGGGGGAAAGAAAAGCCCCCACGAGGAACUAGGGGCAAUCCAUUAAGUCAAGAGAUACACCUCUAAGCAACAGAAAAUCUGACCAAAUAUGACCCAGGACACUAAUCCUGAUCAACGAACCAAGUUACCCUAGGGAUAACAGCGCAAUCCUUUCCCAGAGUCCAUAUCGACGAAAGGGUUUACGACCUCGAUGUUGGAUCAGGACAUCCUAAUGGUG
rnacentral:rRNA from 1 species